GUCACAGUUCAUUUUUUCCCCUCAUUUUCUACCCCCAAAGUCCCUUGGGAUUGCAGCUGUGCUAACUUCUUUUUGCAUUUACGCAUUCAGCCCAAAAUACUAACUUUAUCCACAACUAAGCCAAGAACGCCAUUUCCAUCCGUGCAGCCUAUUCCAUAUUUGAUUUAUAAUUCUGUCUUCAAGGAGGUGUUCUGUGGUUAAAGAUACCUCAGCCUUUUUCCCUGUGUAUGGUGAGGAGGGAAGUGCCUGGCCUCCUCCCGAGCAGUGCAAACGACCCCCUGGCCUGAUGCUGAUGACACUGAUGGGUCAGGAGCUGCAUUGGGAUGUGAGCCUGAUCUUCACAUGGCAGCCAUAAAACUGAGAAUUUACUGUUUGGAUACAAUAAGGGGAUUUAACAAUGCUGAUGGUAUCUACCAGUCCCAUAAUGAAGAGAUGUCCUUUGCUUCUUCUGAGAAACACAUUUUUCAGUGCUGUGAACA